rnacentral:rRNA from 1 species
GAUGAACGCUGGCGGCGUGCCUAAUACAUGCCAGUCGAGCGAACAGACGAGGAGCUUGCUCCUCUGACGUUAGCGGCGGACGGGUGAGUAACACGUGGACAACCUACCUAUAAGACUGGGAUAACUUCGGGAAACCGGAGCUAAUACCGGAUAAUAUAUUGAACCGCAUGGUUCAAUAGUGAAAGACGGUUUUGCUGUCACUUAUAGAUGGAUCCGCGCCGCAUUAGCUAGUUGGUAAGGUAACGGCUUACCAAGGCAACGAUGCGUAGCCGACCUGAGAGGGUGAUCGGCCACACUGGAACUGAGACACGGUCCAGACUCCUACGGGAGGCAGCAGUAGGGAAUCUUCCGCAAUGGGCGAAAGCCUGACGGAGCAACGCCGCGUGAGUGAUGAAGGUCUUCGGAUCGUAAAACUCUGUUAUUAGGGAAGAACAAAUGUGUAAGUAACUAUGCACGUCUUGACGGUACCUAAUCAGAAAGCCACGGCUAACUACGUG